CAGCCGCCGCGGGAAUACGUAGGUGGCAAGCGUUGUCCGGAAUUAUUGGGCGUAAAGGGCUCGCAGGCGGUUUCUUAAGUCUGAUGUGAAAGCCCCCGGCUCAACCGGGGAGGGUCAUUGGAAACUGGGAAACUUGAGUGCAGAAGAGGAGAGUGGAAUUCCACGUGUAGCGGUGAAAUGCGUAGAGAUCGGGAGGAACAUCAGUGGCGAAGGCGGCCAUCUGGGACAACACUGACGCUGAGGAGCGAAAGCGUGGGGAGCGAACAGGAUUAGAUACCCCUGUAGUCCCUGUCUCUUAUAC
rnacentral:rRNA from 1 species